CUUUUUGUUCCAGAACCUCAGGCAGCUGAGCUCACUGGUGGCAGACCCUCUGCUGAGGACACUGAAGUUGGCAAACUAUAGCCCUUGUUUUUCCUUGGUUCACCAUGGAGACUUUCUGUCCUCUCCUGCUGGCCGGUUUUAGCUUGCCUCUUGCCAGGGCCAGCAAGGACAACGAGACAACCACUGCAGAGAGCAACUGGACCAACACGACCACAGGCCCUCCAGACUCUGACACCUCCCAGUCGCUGCUCACCUGGCUGCUGCUGCCUGUGCUGCUGCUCCUCCUCUUGCUCCUCCUCGCCGCCUACUUCUUCAGGUUCAGGAAGCAGAGGAAAGCCGUGGUCAGCAGCAACGACAAGAAGAUGCCCAACGGGAUCUUGGAAGAGCAAGAGCAGCAGAGAGUGAUGCUGCUGAGUAGGUCCCCAUCAGGGCCCAAGAAGUACUUCCCCAUCCCCGUGGAGCACCUGGAGGAGGAGAUCCGUGUGCGCUCGGCUGACGACUGCAAGUGCUUCCGAGAAGAGUUCAAUUCAUUGCCAUCUGGUCACAUACAAGGAACUUUUGAACUGGCAAAUAAAGAAGAAAACAGAGAAAAAAACAGAUAUCCCAACAUCCUUCCUAAUGAUCAUUCCAGGGUGAUUUUGAGUCAAGUGGAUGGAAUUCCUUGCUCAGACUACAUCAAUGCUUCCUACAUAGAUGGUUACAAAGAGAAGAAUAAGUUCAUAGCAGCUCAAGGCCCUAAACAGGAGACUGUGAAUGACUUCUGGAGAAUGGUUUGGGAGCAGAAGUCUGCCACCAUCGUCAUGCUAACAAACCUGAAAGAGAGAAAAGAGGAAAAGUGCUAUCAGUACUGGCCUGACCAGGGAUGCUGGACCUACGGAAACAUCCGGGUGUGCGUGGAAGACUGUGUGGUGUUGGUGGACUACACCAUCCGGAAGUUCUGCAUACAGUCCCUUCCCGACAGCUGCAAGGCACCACGGCUCGUCUCACAGCUGCACUUCACGAGCUGGCCCGACUUUGGGGUGCCCUUCACCCCCAUCGGGAUGCUGAAGUUCUUGAAGAAAGUGCGGGUACUCAACCCCUCCCACGCUGGGCCCAUCGUGGUCCACUGCAGCGCGGGUGUGGGCCGGACAGGCACCUUCAUCGUGAUCGAUGCCAUGAUGGACAUGAUACACUCAGAGCAGAAAGUGGAUGUCUUUGAAUUCGUGUCACAAAUCCGCAACCAGCGCCCUCAGAUGGUCCAAACGGAUGUGCAGUACACAUUCAUCUACCAAGCCUUACUGGAGUAUUACCUCUAUGGGGACACGGAGCUGGACGUGUCCUCCCUGGAGAGGCACCUGCAGAGCCUGCAUGGCACCACCACGCACUUCAACAAGAUCGGGCUGGAGGAGGAGUUCAGGAAACUGACCAAUGUCCGGAUCAUGAAGGAGAACAUGAGGACGGGAAACUUGCCAGCCAACAUGAAGAAGGCCAGGGUCAUCCAGAUCAUCCCAUAUGACUUCAACAGAGUGAUCCUUUCCAUGAAAAGGGGUCAAGAAUAUACAGACUAUAUCAACGCAUCCUUCAUAGACGGUUACCGACAGAAGGACUACUUCAUCGCCACCCAGGGCCCACUGGCCCACACUGUCGAGGACUUCUGGAGGAUGGUCUGGGAGUGGAAGUGUCACACGAUCGUGAUGCUGACGGAGGUGCAGGAGCGAGAGCAGGAUAAAUGCUACCAGUAUUGGCCAACAGAGGGCUCAGUUACUCACGGAGAAAUAACAAUUGAAAUAAAAAGUGACACCCUUUCUGAAGCCAUCAGUGUACGAGACUUCCUGGUGACCUUCAGUCAGCAACCACUGACCCGCCAGGAGGAGCAGGCCCGCAUGGUACGCCAAUUUCAUUUCCAUGGUUGGCCGGAGAUCGGGAUCCCAGCUGAAGGCAAAGGCAUGAUUGACCUCAUUGCAGCUGUGCAGAAGCAGCAGCAACAGACCGGCAACCACCCUAUCACUGUGCACUGCAGUGCUGGAGCUGGACGAACAGGUACAUUCAUUGCCCUCAGCAACAUUUUGGAACGUGUAAAAGCUGAGGGACUUCUAGAUGUAUUUCAAGCUGUGAAGAGCUUACGACUUCAGAGGCCGCACAUGGUGCAAACCCUGGAACAGUAUGAAUUCUGCUACAAAGUGGUACAAGAUUUUAUUGAUAUAUUUUCUGAUUAUGCUAAUUUCAAAUGAAGAGUCCUGCCUUAAAAUAUUUUUUAAUUUAAUGCUACUAGGUACCUAGUAGAUGAGCACAAUAUAGAAAAAGAAGACAUCUGGUCUAACUUACUACAGACAUUGAACAUGUGCAGUUUGGUGUGUACAGGUGUGACCCCAAGUUCCAUGACUGUCCUCACCAGGCUCCAGGUCAACGAGCUUCUCUCCUGCCCCUGCUCUGAGCCCCACCCAGGGUGGUAGUUGGUGUCCACUUGGAAGGACCAAAGCACACUCUGGCCGCCGCCAUCACCACCAGCCACACCUUGGGCUCCCCAUUGCUGAGUGCACCCUCUCUCUGUGCAGUGAAUAAGCAGAUGAAGGAGGAAGUAGAAGAAGCUUUUGUGCAACUUGCCAGUUGAUUCCGUUUGUUUCCAUUGUUGAAAUACCAAACCCAAAGCCUUUCUUUGACUAAAGGAGAAGAGAGGAGAAUAUGUUUUCAUUCAGCACCCGAAGCCCAUUAGGGAUGAAGUGAUGUUAAACUGGUAGUUUUUUAGAGUUCGAAGUCAAAGAGCAUGGAGUCAGCCCUAAUUUUAGGAGUUGGUAGAAUCCCUGAAGCCCUCCAAUGGUCUGUCUGGCAUCUCUUGUAUCAAGAAGUGCCUUUAUGGGUAGAUCUUUGCAGGGUGUCCUGAGGAAAGUGUUCUGUUUGUGGUUUUCCUUUCCUCAUCCACUGUGAGCAUCCCAGGUAUCCAGUGCAGAGGUUCUCCUUGCUCCCAAACUCAUCCCAUCCUGAAAACAAACAGAAGCCAGAAUCAGGUGGAUACAUGGCCCCUUCCCCAGUCAGGGAGGUGGUCCCUGAGCGUCAUGGUCGUGACCAAGGCCAAGUUCAGACAGUCUCUCUGUGCCUAUAGAGAAGCUGUGUGCAGAGGGAAUAAUAACCAGGGGCAUCUUCUCUGUGCAGUUGGCAUGUUCUUCUCUUCUUCCUUCAGUCAAAGGAAGUCAAGUACAUGUAACGCAACCGCCCAGCACUGGCAAGAACACUUCUCCUUUCACGUUCUCCUAUUGCAUGCAGUUGCAUUCAAAUGCCAAAUAGUGAUCAGAAGUUUACUGUUCUGAUUGGGAUACCCAUCAGUCACUGUGUGACUUUACUCCUUCUCUCCAUGUGCUAGAAGAAUGAAGAAUGCAUACUGGUGUUUUCAAAGGUAUUUUUAUGUGUUUUUACAAACUUUUUAAAACAAACCUGAUACCUGUGUGUCAGCAUUUGGAGAUUGUGCCCAUGUUAUUUUUGUUAAUGUAUUAUUACUGAUACAGUUCCAUUUGUUUGAUUAACUGAGCUGUAUUUAAUUUAUGUGCAGUCUUUACAAUAUGUGUAUGUAUUACAGUUUCAACUGUCAUAUUUUCUUUUAUUACAUUUAUAAUUUGAUCUUGUUCUGAUUAUAAUGCCAGUGAAUGUU